UCUUUUAAUUGGGGACUGGAAUGAAGGAGUAAACCGGGAGAAAUUUUUUUGAAUUAAGAUGAUGAAUUUCAUUUUUUAGUAAGAAGGCUAAAAUAUUUCUUUUAGACGAGAAGACCCUAUAAAACUUUAUAUUUUUUACUUUUAGAAAAAUUAAAAAAUAUUUCACUGGGGUGGUGAAGGAAAAAUCUUCCUUUAAAAAUUUUGAACUUACUAGUUUUUUAUACCUAGAAUUUCUAAAAGAGAAAUGAGUUACUUUAGGGAUAACAGCUUAAUUUAUUUUGAAAGAUCAAAUUGACGAAUAAGUUUAUGACCUCGAUG
rnacentral:rRNA from 1 species